GUGUCACGAUAUGUCACACGUGUCACGAUAUGUCACGACAUGAUGGGGCCUGUCGGGAGGCGUCAGGACAUGUCGUGACAUGGAGGGGGCGCCACUGAGCAUCUCGGGGGGAGUUUUGGGGUGGUUUGGGCAGUUUUGGGAUGUGGGGACACCUCGAGGUGGGACCGGACCUGUCGCGACAUGUCACGGUGUGUCGGGGCGUGUUGGGACAUGUUGGGGCGCGUCGGGACAUGUCGGGACAGGUCGGGACACGCUGACAUGUGUCAGGACCUGCUGACGUGUGUCGCGACAUGACGUGCUGACACAUGUCAGGACAUGUUGACGUGUGUCGGGACAUGUCAGGACAUGCUGAUGUGUGUCGGGACAUGUUGAUGUGUGUCAGGAUAUGUCAGGAUGUGUCGGGACGUGUCGGGACAUGCUGACAUGUGUCGGGACACAUCGACACGUGUUGGGACA